GAUGAACGCUGGCGGCGUGCUUAACACAUGCAAGUCGAACGAUGAAGCCCAGCUUGCUGGGUGGAUUAGUGGCGAACGGGUGAGUAACACGUGAGUAACCUGCCCUUAACUCUGGGAUAAGCCUGGGAAACUGGGUCUAAUACCGGAUAGGAGCGUCCACCGCAUGGUGGGUGUUGGAGAGAUUUAUCUGUUUUGGAUGGACUCGCGGCUUAUCAGCUUGUUGGUGAGGUAAUGGCUCACCAAGGCGACGACGGGUAGCCGGCCUGAGAGGGUGACCGGCCACACUGGGACUGAGAUACGGCCCAGACUCCUACGGUAGGCAACAGUGGGGAAUAUUACACAAUGGGCGCAAGCCUGAUGCAGCGACGCCGCGUGAGGGAUGACGGCCUUCGGGUUGUAAACCUCAUUCAUUAGGUAAGAAGCGAAAGUGACGGUACCUGCAGAAUAAGCACCGGCUAACUACGUG
rnacentral:rRNA from 1 species